rnacentral:rRNA from 1 species
UACGUAGGUGGCAAGCGUUGUCCGGAAUUAUUGGGCGUAAAGCGCGCGCAGGCGGUCCUUUAAGUCUGAUGUGAAAGCCCACGGCUCAACCGUGGAGGGUCAUUGGAAACUGGGGGACUUGAGUGCAGAAGAGGAAAGCGGAAUUCCACGUGUAGCGGUGAAAUGCGUAGAUAUCGGGAGGAACACCCGUAGCGAAGGCGGCACUCUGGGCCGGAACUGACGCUGAGGAGCGAAAGCGUGGGGAGCAAACAGG